GCUAUUUAGGUUAGAGUUUGAUCCUGGCUCAGGACGAACGCUGGCGGCGUGCUUAACACAUGCAAGUAGAGCGACGAACCAGGGCUUGCCCUGGGGCAGAGCCGCGAACGGGUGAGUAACACGUGGGUUACCUGCCUCGAUGACCGGGACAACCCGAGGAAACUCGAGCUAAUACCGGAUGUGCCCGCAAGGGGAAAGGAAGCUUCGGCCUCUGGUCAAGGAUGAGCCCGCGGCGGAUUAGCUUGUUGGCGGGGUAACGGCCCACCAAGGCGACGAUCCGUAGCUGGUCUGAGAGGACGAUCAGCCACACUGGGACUGAGACACGGCCCAGACUCCUACGGGAGGCAGCAGUGGGGAAUCUUGCGCUAAUGCGGGAAACCGUGACGCAGCGACGCCGCGUGGGGGAAGAAGGCCUUCGGGUUGUAAACCUCUUUCAGGAGGGACGAAGCUACUCGGGUUAAUAGCCCAGAGGGUGACGGUACCUCCAGAAGAAGCCCCGGCUAACUACGUGCCAGCAGCCGCGGUAAUG
rnacentral:rRNA from 1 species